GAUUGAGAAGAUAUCUACUGGAUAAUUGACAAGCAGAAUUCUCAGUUCAUCUAUAUGUUUUAUCAAACUAGCUAUAUUUAAAGAAGCUAGUUUGAAACCACGCUUUGCGGGAAAGGGUGGUAUCGAUUUCGUAUUCAAAAUUUAAGACUUUGGGAGAUAGAGCAUUCUGUAUGGCUGCCCCAGCGUUGUGGAACAGUCUAC